AACCUGGUUGAUCUUGCGGUAGCAUGUGCGUGUCGCUAAAGUUAACCCCGGGCAUCCAAACGCUUGGGCUGGUUGGGUGAUGUUGCGAAUGACUUUGAUCGCAUGUUCUGCUCCUAUCUGGAUAACCGUAGUAAUUCUAGAACUAAUCUAUGUCCACGAGCACCAGCCUCUCUGGUGGUUCUAGAUAACCUAGAUCGAUCGCGCGUCCCACAGCCUUGUCAACUAAUUUAAUGUGGAAGUCGUAGUGCCUUACGAUGGCGGCUACGAUGACAUGGAAUCCCCGUGAUAAGAAAUCCGGUAUGGUUUCAUAGAGCCUAAUCGACUAUUCCUACCAAGGAAGGCAGCAGACGCGCAAAUUACCUACCCGCGACGGGAGAGAGCAGCGGUGAAAAGCAACACCGGACUCUUUCGAGAUCCUAUAAUUGGAAUGCGUCCACUUUUAAAUCUUUUAAGGAGGAUCCGUUGCACGGCAAAUCUGGUGGCGGCAGCUGCGGUAAUCCCGGCUUCAGUGCGCUGGGUAUUGAAUUCGUGCAUUUGAAAUGCUGUGCUUGGGUUUCUGGCGCGGGGCCACCGUAGGGGGGAGCCCUCGCGUCCCUUUCUUCUGCGCCUUCCUGGCUCCUAGCAGAGUUUCCCGCGCCGAAGUGUGCACUUGGAGAAAAUCGAGAGUUCAGAGUAGGCGUGAGUUGCCUGAAUACUGCCGCGGGCGGUCGUGGAAUCGGGACCGUGGUUCUAUUUUGUUCGUGUCGGAACUUUGCGGAGGCGGAUCAGGCGCGGGGCUGGGGUGUUCGCGUUGCACCACUGGCGCGCAAAGUCCUAGACCGGUGCACGAAGGCCCAGAGUGAAAGCUUUUGGCCAGGAAUGCUUUCAUCAAGGAUGAAGGUGAAAGUGGAAUGUUUGAAGAGGUGCAGAUCUCGUUUAGUUCUGACCAUAACUGAUGCAAAAACCGUUGCGUUAUUACCGUGAUCCGCGGGCAGCUUCCGGGAAACCAAAGCCCUUCCGGUGGUGGUAGUUGGAGGGUCUGGUUCCAAAAUGAAUACGAUAGUGGAGUCCGGAGUCUGCGCUUCACUUGACUCAGUCCCGACAACCCCACCCCACUCCGGCACGGACAGGAUUGGCGCAUCGAUAGCUCUUCCGCGGGUAGCGGUACCUGGCGUUUCGUUUGCGGAGUGAUUUGUCUGGCUUAUUGAUAACCACGGGGUGUAGCGUGCUAACCGUUUAGGCCAGCCCGAGUGCUCAGUAUUCCUCAACUUUGACAAGUGGCAUUCAGCUGCUGGAGAUUGAGCAGUCAUAAAUCUGUGACACCCUUAAAUGUCCGGAGCCGCGUGCCACACGGUUGAGCGAUUGUGUAGCCCGGUGUAGCGGAUACCGGUCAAAUCCGUUAGUGAUGGGCUUGGACUGCAGUUGUUCCGCAUCAAGGAGGAGUUCCCUGUAAGACAGUAGAUCAAAGGGUUGAGUUAAGUCCUUGUGCCUUGUACACACUGUUCGUCGCCCCGCGGAUUUCCUGCUUGAUGUUGGCACUUGGUCUAAAUAAAAGUUGCAAUCAGCUUUCUGUAGGUGGACUUGCAGGAGAAGCAUUA
rnacentral:rRNA from 1 species